rnacentral:rRNA from 1 species
GCCUCCCUCUUUCUUCGUGCUUAACACAUGCAAGUCGAACGCUGAAGCUCAGCUUUUGUUGGGUGGAUGAGUGGCGAACGGGUGAGUAACACGUGAGUAACCUGCCUCCUACUUUGGGAUAACGCCCGGAAACGGGUGCUAAUACUGGAUAUUCACUGGUCUUCGCAUGGGGGUUGGUGGAAAGGGUUUUUCUGGUGGGGGAUGGGCUCGCGGCCUAUCAGCUUGUUGGUGGGGUGAUGGCCUACCAAGGCUUUGACGGGUAGCCGGCCUGAGAGGGUGACCGGUCACAUUGGGACUGAGAUACGGCCCAGACUCCUACGGGAGGCAGCAGUGGGGAAUAUUGCACAAUGGGCGCAAGCCUGAUGCAGCGACGCAGCGUGAGGGAUGGAGGCCUUCGGGUUGUGAACCUCUUUCGCUCAUGGUCAAGCCGCAACAAUGGUUGUGGUGAGGGUAGUGGGUAAAGAAGCGCCGGCUAACUACGUG